ensembl:snRNA U1 U1 spliceosomal RNA
AUAAUUAGCUCAGGUGAGUUUCUAUGAUCAAACAGGUACUUUGCCCAGGGUGUAGCUUGUCCUUGCUCUCAGGAUGUUCUGAUCUCUGAUAUUCCCCAAGUGCAAGAAACUAAGUACUUACUUUUUGCAGUAGGGGACUCUAUUUGAGUGUUCCUUU